GACGAACGCUGGCGGCGUGCCUAACACAUGCAAGUCGAGCGAUGAAAUCCCUUCGGGGAUGGAUUAGCGGCGGACGGGUGAGUAACACGUGGGUAACCUGCCUCAAAGAGGGGGAUAGCCUCCCGAAAGGGAGAUUAAUACCGCAUAACAUUAGUUUUUCGCAUGAAGAACUAAUUAAAGGAGUAAUCCGCUUUGAGAUGGACCCGCGGCGCAUUAGCUAGUUGGUGAGGUAAAGGCUCACCAAGGCGACGAUGCGUAGCCGACCUGAGAGGGUGAUCGGCCACAUUGAACUGAGACACGGUCCAGACUCCUACGGGAGGCAGCAGUGGGGAAUAUUGCGCAAUGGGCGAAAGCCUGAUGCAGCAACGCCGCGUGAGUGAUGAAGGCCUUCGGGUUGUAAAGCUCUGUCUUUUGGGACGAUAAUGACGGUACCAAAGGAGGGAGCCACGGCUAACUACGUGCCAGCCGCCGCAGUAACAC
rnacentral:rRNA from 1 species